AACUUGACCUCCAAGUUUAUCCAAGAACACUAUUCACAUUCAGGCAGCUCGAAAUCUGAUAUCUUUCGCCGGAGUUCCCUGAAUAUCCGUUUGAGCUCAAACUUGACAGUCAUAUUCGCUUUUACUUAAUGAGUCCAGAAAAAUUUUAAUAUUUCAGUUUCGACCCCGUUUGGUCACUAAAAGCUGUACCGAACUGUAAUCUUUAUCAGAUAACUGUCGGAUUUAUUUCUCACUCUACGGAUGUCAGAAUGGCAUGAAACUUUAAAUCUAGCCUCAUAAAAAUAUUUCUGACAUAUCCUCCAGUUUUCAUAAUUUUCUGACACUGUGCAUUUUUUGCUAAUUUAUCUGCCCCGUUUCACACAGAAAAUUCUAAAUUUUCUGUUUUCAUCCCGAUUUCAGCACAAGUCACUUCUGACUUAUGUUUAACUUCUCUAAAUCCAAUAAAAUAGUAUCUCAUACUAUUUUUAUUUAUUUUUCACUUUUAUAUUAAAGAUCCGGUAUGUUACAUUCCACCGCAGCCUCACCGGAACCAUUUAAAUGGCUUUCCAAUCGAACGUACACCGUAACCUUAUGAUUUUCGAAGUCCGGUACCUUACGCU
rnacentral:lncRNA from 1 species